UGAGCACACUUCGGGCGUCUGAACCCUCUUCUCUUCCGCCCCAGCAUCCGCGGCUCUUGCGAGCUCCUAAAGCCGCGACCCCCGACGCCAUAAUCCCUCAACGAUCCCCAGAGCAGAGCCAUCCUCUCUCUCUCCCCGCGAGCCCUCACAAGCGAGAGGAAAGAGACCAGAGAUGGGCGGCGGCAACUGCAACCCCAAGGACUUCGGCGCCGCCGCCUACUGGGACGCCCGCUACUCCUCUCCCUCCACUGGCGGCAAGGGCGGCGGCGGCGGCGGGUUCUUCGACUGGUACCAGUCGUACUCGGCGCUCCGCCCCCUCCUCCGCGCCUGCGUGCCCACUUCCUCCCAGGUCCUCAUGCUCGGCUGCGGCAACUCCCUUCUGUCGGAGGACAUGGUAAAGGAUGGUUACCAGAACAUAGUAAACAUAGACAUCUCAUCCGUUGUAAUCGAGCAGAUGAAGGAGAAGCACACGGAUAUCGCACAGCUUACAUAUAUGCAGUUGGAUGUCAGAGAUAUGAGCUUCUUUGGAGAUGGAUCAUUUGAUUGUAUCAUCGACAAAGGAACUUUGGAUGCUAUGAUGUGUGGUGAUGAUGCCCCUCAUGGCGCUUACAAAAUGCUAGCAGAAGUGGCAAGGCUUAUGAGGCCUGGUGGGAUUUACAUGUUGAUAACAUAUGGUGCUCCUAAGGAACGUCUGACACUUCUGAACCAAGUCCGAUGCCAUUGGGAAGUUGAGCUUUACAUUAUGCACCAAAAUACCUUGUUCGAUGGUUAGUCAGUGCCUCAGUGGCAACCUUGACUUGAAUUAAUGACGGCGGCAAUGGUGACCGAAGAAGCCUGCCUGGUCUGUGCUUCAUGCCCUCGAUCACGCCGCGUCAUUAAACAAAGCAGCCACACCUGAAUACCAGCUGAAAUGGAGCAACGGUGCUGCACACGCCAUGAUGGAGAAAGUUGCGCUGACAGUGGAUGGCCAACUGCCACCUGACUACGUUCUCAAGGAUCCAGAGUCACAUUUCAUUUAUGUUUGUUACAAGUCAGAUAUAGUGACCGAAGAUAAGUCCAUGGUUGCUGGUCAAGAUGAUGCCAUGUCUUCAUUUUAAUGGAGUCCGACCACAAUGACCGAAUUAAAUAUUACCAUUGAUUAUGAAAACGCAUACCCUUUUGUGCCAUUAUCUGGCGCGAGUGAGAGAUGAGUGUGCUUUGUGGAAGUUGGAAGAUUUAAGAAAUAUAGUUAUUGUGUGUUUCUAUCUGCCAUACUUAGUGAGUGAACCUGUGGAGUUCUAUUUAGUUCGCUUGGAAUGAGUAAAUUUCGUUUCUCUGCAAGCUUUAA